rnacentral:rRNA from 1 species
GAGUCGCAUGUUCUAGACCCGAAGCGGAGUGAUCUACCCAUGGCCAGGGUGAAGCGACGGUAAGACGUCGUGGAGGCCCGAACCCACUUAGGUUGAAAACUGAGGGGAUGAGCUGUGGGUAGGGGUGAAAGGCCAAUCAAACUCCGUGAUAGCUGGUUCUCCCCGAAAUGCAUUUAGGUGCAGCGUCACGUGUUUCACGCCGGAGGUAGAGCUACUGGAUGGCCUAGGGGGCCCACAAGCUUACCGAAGUCAGCCAAACUCCGAAUGCCGGUGUGUGAGAGCGUGGCAGUGAGACUGCGGGGGAUAAGCUUCGUAGUCGAGAGGGAAACAGCCCAGAUCGCCGGCUAAGGCCCCUAAGCGUGUACUAAGUGGAAAAGGAUGUGGAGUCGCGAAGACAACCAGGAGGUUGGCUUAGAAGCAGCCACCCUUGAAAGAGUGCGUAAUAGCUCACUGGUCAAGUGAUUCUGCGCCGACAAUGUAGCGGGGCUCAAGUACACCGCCGAAGCCGCGGCACUCCAACAUGACAUCCACAUCCGACUACGGUUGGGUGUGCAGUGGUUGGGGUGGGUAGGGGAGCGUCGUACAGCCAGGGAAGCAGCGGUGUGAACCAGUUGUGGAGGCUGUGCGAGUGAGAAUGCAGGCAUGAGUAGCGAAAGACGAGUGAGAAACUCGUCCGCCGAAUGACCAAGGGUUCCUGGGCCAGGUUAAUCCGCCCAGGGUGAGUCGGGACCUAAGGCGAGGCCGACAGGCGUAGUCGAUGGACAACGGGUUGAUAUUCCCGUACCCGUGUAUCCGCGCCCAUGCUGAAUCAGUUGUGCUAAGUGCCCAAAUCCCCCAGGAAGACCUUCGGGUCUCGAGUGGGGUGCUGCGCAUGACCCCGGCUGGUAGUAGGCAAGCGAUGGGGUGACGCAGGAAGGUAGCUGGGCCAGUCAGUGGUUGUACUGGUGUAAGCCUGUAGGGAGUCUGAUAGGCAAAUCCGUCAGACAUGUAUCCUGAGAGGUGAUGCGUAGCCGAUUGAGGCGAAUUCAGUGAUCCUAUGCUGCCGAGAAAAGCCUCUAGUGAGUUGGUACACGGCCCGUACCCCAAACCGACACAGGUGGUCAGGUAGAGAAUACUGAGGCGAUCGAGAGAACUGUGGUUAAGGAACUCGGCAAAAUGCCCCCGUAACUUCGGGAGAAGGGGGACCACGCCUGGUGACCGGAUUUACUCCGUGAGCUGGGGGUGGUCGCAGAGACCAGAGAGAAGCGACUGUUUACUAAAAACACAGGUCCGUGCGAAGUCGUAAGACGAUGUAUACGGACUGACGCCUGCCCGGUGCCGGAAGGUUAAGAGGACCGGUUAGCGCCUUCGGGUGCGAAGCUGAGAAUUUAAGCCCCGGUAAACGGCGGUGGUAACUAUAACCAUCCUAAGGUAGCGAAAUUCCUUGUCGGGUAAGUUCCGACCUGCACGAAUGGCGUAACGACUUCUCUGCUGUCUCAACCACAGACUCGGCGAAAUUGCAUUACGAGUAAAGAUGCUCGUUACGCGCGGCAGGACGAAAAGACCCCGGGACCUUCACUAUAGCUUGGUAUUGGUGUUCGGUACGGUUUGUGUAGGAUAGGUGGGAGACUGUGAAGCAUGCACGCCAGUGUGUGUGGAGUCGUCGUUGAAAUACCACUCUGAUCGUAUUGGACCUCUAACCUCGGACCAUGAUCUGGUUCAGGGACAGUGCCUGGUGGGUAGUUUAACUGGGGCGGUUGCCUCCCAAAAUGUAACGGAGGCGCCCAAAGGUUCCCUCAGCCUGGUUGGCAAUCAGGUGUCGAGUGCAAGUGCACAAGGGAGCUUGACUGUGAGACAGACAUGUCGAGCAGGGACGAAAGUCGGGACUAGUGAUCCGGCACCGGCAUGUGGAAGCGGUGUCGCUCAACGGAUAAAAGGUACCCCGGGGAUAACAGGCUGAUCUUCCCCAAGAGUCCAUAUCGACGGGAUGGUUUGGCACCUCGAUGUCGGCUCGUCGCAUCCUGGGGCUGGAGUAGGUCCCAAGGGUUGGGCUGUUCGCCCAUUAAAGCGGCACGCGAGCUGGGUUUAGAACGUCGUGAGACAGUUCGGUCUCUAUCCGCCGCGCGCGUCAGAAACUUGAGGAAGGCUGUCCCUAGUACGAGAGGACCGGGACGGACGAACCUCUGGUGUGCCAGUUGUCCUGCCAAGGGCACUGCUGGUUGGCUACGUUCGGAAGGGAUAACCGCUGAAAGCAUCUAAGCGGGAAGCCUGUUCCAAGAUGAGGUUUCUCACCCACUCGAUGGGUUAAGGCCCCCUACAGACCAUGGGGUUGAUAGGCCAGAACUGGAAGCCCGGUAACGGGUGGAGGUGACUGGUACUAAUAGGCCGAGGACUUACCAAC